GGGCUCACACAAGCAGUGGAGCAUGUGGCUUAAUUCGAAGCAACGCGAAGAACCUUAUCCUGGGUUUGACUAUUGCGGAUACCCUCUGUGAAAGCAGAGUAAGUUGCUCUUGUAGUGAAACGUAAACAGGUGCUGCAUGGCUGUCGUCAGCUCGUGUCGUGAGAUGUCGGGUUAAGUCCUUUAACGAGCGAAACCCUUAUCGUUAGUUGCCAGCGCGUUAUGGCGGGAACUCUAGCGAGACUGCCGGUGUUAAACCGGAGGAAGGCGGGGAUGACGUCAAGUCCUCAUGGCCUUUAUGCCCAGGGCUGCACACGUGCUACAAUGCUACGUACAAACCGACGCGAUACCGCGAGGUGGAGCAAAUCGGAUAAAGCGUGGCCCAGUUCGGAUUGAAGUCUGCAACUCGACUUCAUGAAGUUGGAAUUGCUAGUAAUCGCGGAUCAGCAUGCCGCGGUGAAUAUGUUCCUGAGCCUU
rnacentral:rRNA from 1 species